rnacentral:rRNA from 1 species
UGGGGAAUUUUGCACAAUGGGGGAACCCUGAUGCAGCGACGCCGCGUGAUUUAGAAGGCCUUCGGGUUGUAAAAAUCUUUUCUAUGGGAAGAAAAUGACAGUACCAUAGGAAUAAGGACCGGCUAAUUACGUGCCAGCAGCCGCGGUAAUACGUAAGGUCCGAGCGUUGUCCGGAAUCAUUGGGCGUAAAGGGUACGUAGGCGGGUAAGCAAGUUAGAAGUGAAAUCCUAUAGCUCAACUAUAGUAAGCUUUUAAAACUGCUCAUCUUGAGGUAUGGAAGGGAAAGUGGAAUUCCUAGUGUAGCGGUGAAAUGCGCAGAUAUUAGGAGGAAUACCGGUGGCGAAGGCGACUUUCUGGCCAUAACCUGACGCUGAGGUACGAAAGCGUGGGUAGCAAACAGG